rnacentral:rRNA from 1 species
AUUGAACGCUGGCGGCAUGCCUAACACAUGCAAGUCGAACGGCAGCACAGCAGUAGCAAUACUGUGGGUGGCGAGUGGCGGACGGGUGAGGAAUACGUCGGAAUCUGCCCAGUCGUGGGGGAUAACUAGCCGAAAGGUUAGCUAAUACCGCAUACGACCGAGAGGUGAAAGCGGGGGGACCGCAAGGCCUCGCGCGAUUGGAUGAGCCGACGUCGGAUUAGCUAGUUGGCGGGGUAAAGGCCACCAAGGCGACGAUCCGUAGCUGGUCUGAGAGGAUGAUCAGCCACACUGGAACUGAGACACGGUCCAGACUCCUACGGGAGGCAGCAGUGGGGAAUAUUGGACAAUGGGCGCAAGCCUGAUCCAGCAAUGCCGCGUGUGUGAAGAAGGCCUC